UACUCUCACACUCUAUGAUCCUUUGGAUUCAGGAGUGGUGGACUUGGGUGUUUGCUGCUUUCCUUGUGGCUCACCUCAAAUGUGUCAGUGCACCUCUUGGUUGGACAUAGUACGGCGUGAUAAGUGUCUUCGCCGGCACCUUGCAAGAGGGUGGCCAACUGGGGGCUCUGUGCUUUCAAACCGUCAUUUGACAAUCUCUGACA
rnacentral:misc_RNA from 1 species